rnacentral:lncRNA from 1 species
AAGGCAGAAUGCAGAAGCCAUAGCGCAUGCACUAUGGUAUUACUUUAUCUGCCCAUGGCAAAAUGUAAUACUAUAGCGCAUGCGCUAUGGCUUCUGCAUUCUGCCUUAUGGCUCCUGUAAUUUUAUGUGCUUCCACCUUUACUCACCUACUUUAUAUGCACUUUCUCGCUUGCACACCUCUCUCCCCACUCUAUCUCAACCACCCACACACUCCUCUCACUCUCUGCAAUCACACCACUCUAUCCUACUCCUCCUAACACCUCAACAACUCUCCGUAUCACUCUCUGAAUCUACCGGCUAUCCACACACGUCUAACUCAUUGUCAGAACGGCCCGGAAACAGAAGUCCAAUAUUGAUCAAUAAGAAUCUAGUUUUGCGUGGACACACAUACAUACAUGGAAAUGGGUGCAAGGAGGGGUCUUUGGCUCCUCUCUCGCAUCCAUCCCGUCGGUAGGUGUGCCCUGGGCAGAAAUGCGUGUCUGUUAUUGACGUGGCCAAUAUUGACACAUGGCCUAUAUCGACGUGGCGAGUAUUGACGCGUGGCCAAUAUUGACGUAGCUAUUACUAAUGUGAGUAAUAUUACGCGUGGCCGUUAUUAACGUGACCAUUAUUGAAGCGUGGCUAAUAUAGAUGUGACUAAUGCGCUCCGUGGUCAAUCGGGAUCGUGGCCAAUAUUGACGUGGGCAAUUGGGACCGUGGCUAAUAUUGACGUGGGCAAAUGGGACGCUCCCCCACCAGGAUAUAAGAUCAGGACGGUCGAUUACUCGAUUUCCGCGGAGAUCAAGGAGAUUACCAUUAAAUUACACGUACGUAGAUAACGUGAGAUGCUCGUAUUGAAUGCAGAAGUGCAAGACACGAUUUUUACGCCAAUCAAAAAUAUUCGGUCGUCUGACACAAUUUUUAGGCCUGUUAAAAAUAUUCGAUUAUUUGAUAAAAAGAAACUCACCAUAUCCAACGUUGAAUUUUUAAAAUCAUUGACGACAGCAUUGUCAAGAUUGAGACUCGCACGUAUAAUCUAUACGCCAACACUACGGAUACAGCAAUGAAAUAAGGAUACUCAUACAACAGCACAUGUUGCCAUGCGAAAGUUUUCUUUCCGUCGAAGGAAAAUUGGUGAAGAAGAAAGAAAGAAGAUAAGGGUAAGAAUCAGACAAAUCUUGGAAAUAAUUGCGUGGCGUUCAUGUUUGAUGAAAUUUGAUACAAACUCAAUGGUGUGGAAAUUGAUUGCAACAGAAACGUUGGAAUAACCAGUACUAUUAAAAACUAUGUAUCGUUAUUAUAUGACAAAGCAGUAAUUAUGCAGAAUGCAGGAUGGCAAUUUUUGUAUAACCUACCGUGAAAAUAGUGUAUUAUUGAGCUUUGACGAAGAUUAUAAACGUGUGAUUGUUAACGCUCGUCACAAAUUGAUUUUGAUACGAGCGCGCAAUGAUAACAAUUCUAUUGUGGGAAAAUGGGAAAUUCUACGGCUCAACUGAAAUAUGAAUUAUUGCAUGUUAUGUUAAAUGAAGUCAACAAAUUAUAUCUGCUGCUUGCUUUGGAGAGUGGACAAUGUCUAAGUAUAAGUUUUCGCUCCUGGGAUCUGUACGAGUAUCCCCUGUUGCAAAGUACGAUGAAACAUUCAUAGGCUGUCAAAACUGCAAUUCAACUCGAGAAAUCGCGCUUCGUUAUGUUUACACUGCAGAUGGUCGAAAAAACAUCAUGUCUCAAGAUGUUACAAUCUUUGAUAACUGUAAUUUGACCAACGUAAAACUUAUUUAAACUCUGAAUCCAUACAAUGAUAUGAAUUUAGACUUUCAUAAAUCUAGAUAUGCCAUUCUGUAUGACAUGUAUCGACGUUUUGGUAAAUCUUAUUACGGACAUGAAACGCUGCUCAAUGUAAUCACAAAGACCUUUUGCGGUCAUUGACUGUUCACGAACAAAACGAAUCCGUCAAGAAUGCUACCAUGGAUGUGCGCAUAGAAUUUGAUUGCAAAGAGAAUAUUCCCGCGAAUACUACCGCUUAUUGUCUUAUCUUACAUGAUCGUGUAAUUGAAUAUUGCCCGUUGUCCAAGUAGUGCGCAACGUAGUGCGCAAGAUCAUAUAACAUCAAACUGAUAACAACAGAGAUAUUUGGCGUUAAAGUACAGUCUCAUCAUGAUCAUACCAACAUUUGUGGAUCUGCAAGGAUUCAUUAUCGAUAAAAAAUUUGUUGUAAGGGAAGUGGCGGUACUGAGCAGGAAAAGGAGCCAUUCUCUCGCAUUACAUUUUCGCGUGUUCUUAUAAAAUCCGACAAGUUUUGUGCUUCUUGAUUGAUUGCUUAUCAUCAUGGUUGAUUGCGAUAGAAGGACGGGAUGAUCUCGUACAGCAUGGUGAAAUGUCUGAUUACAUCUGCUGUCUAAUACGGAAAAGGAUAACGACAAUGCUAUCGUAUACGUUAAGGGACAUAGAAACGAGAAUGGUUAGCGUACAUGCUCGAUAGGUGAUGGGAUAUAUAUCAAGACAUUGGAUGCAGAUUACGAAGACAUUGAAACUUUAAAUAAUUUAGAAUCUAGAUUUUAGAUGUUAGUACUAAUACUAUACGAUGUGAAAAACAUGUUAAGAAUUGUGUAUUAUAAAAUGUAUUUAAAAUUUUUAACCGAUGGUCGUAACACUAAAAUAAUUGUAAAAUUUUUUCAAAAUAAAAAAAAUAUAAACGCAAUAAAA